rnacentral:rRNA from 1 species
UAGGGAAUCUUCCGCAAUGGACGCAAGUCUGACGGAGCAACGCCGCGUGAGUGAAGAAGGAUUUCGGUUCGUAAAACUCUGUUGUUAGAGAAGAACAGCGCAUAGAGUAACUGUUAUGCGUGUGACGGUAUCUAACCAGAAAGCCACGGCUAACUACGUGCCAGCAGCCGCGGUAAUACGUAGGUGGCAAGCGUUGUCCGGAUUUAUUGGGCGUAAAGCGAGCGCAGGCGGUCAAUUAAGUCUGAUGUGAAAGCCCCCGGCUCAACCGGGGAGGGUCAUUGGAAACUGGUUGACUUGAGUGCAGAAGAGGAGAGUGGAAUUCCAUGUGUAGCGGUGAAAUGCGUAGAUAUAUGGAGGAACACCAGUGUCGAAGGCGACUCUCUGGUCUGUAACUGACGCUGAGGCUCGAAAGCGUGGGGAGCGAACAGG